UUUCAAUUUGAGAAUUUGCGCCAAAAAUCGAGCUUAAUUCAAGUCACGCCAAAAACCCAAGCUUGAAUCAAAACCGCCCCACUUUUUAUUUUCAGUUUCGGAGCUCAUUCAAGCUUUCGCUCGCCGGCCCUAAUCCGCCUCUGCAUGUAUCCGUCUCCUCGGGCUCAGAUCUCGUACCCCCGCUAGGCUCCGAUCUCGCGCUGCUGGCAACAUCAACGCUCAUGAUACGCGCGCACAGGUCACAUCUCUCACUCGCUGACGCUGCUGUACCUCCUGCCUGUGGUCGCCUCCUCCGAUCUCAGACCUCGCACCUCCGGCAGCCUCCAACAUUACACUUCAAGCGACAUUCACAGUCGUGGUUUGCGCUCACAGGUCACAGGUCUUACUUGGUCACACUGCUCAAGGUCGUUGUCGUCAACAACAAGAACUUCUCCAGAGUAUUAAUUGCAAAUUUAAGAUUGGCACAAAACUAGGAGCAACCUAGCACUUAGAAUUCCUAAUACGGCAUUUAGAAUACUAUGAAACAUAAACGUAAUAUCAGCGGACAAUCAAUCCUUGAAGAAUUACGAAGACAAAGUGAAGACAUAAACUUGAGUUCGGAAGAUGGGUUGGAACAAAUAAGUCUCAAUGAUUAUUAGAUGGACGAUGAAGUACCUACCUUCUCUGAUUCUAUGCCACACAUUGAGUCGAAAUGAUGUAUCUCAUGUCAUGUUUAUUUUAAUUUUAAUUUAUGUCUAAUUUAUACUGUUAUUAGAGUUACUUAUAUUUUUGUCGUACAGAAUUAUAAAACUUGGUUUUUGUUAUUUCUUUACUAUAUAUAUGAACAAUGCAUA